rnacentral:rRNA from 1 species
AGAGUUUGAUCCUGGCUCAGAUUGAACGCUGGCGGCAUGCCUUACACAUGCAAGUCGAACGGUAGAGGGGGCAACCCCUUGAGAGUGGCGAACGGGUGAGUAAUGCAUCGGAACGUGCCCAGUAGUGGGGGAUAGCCCGGCGAAAGCCGGAUUAAUACCGCAUACGACCUACGGGUGAAAGGGGGGGAUCGCAAGACCUCUCGCUAUUGGAGCGGCCGAUGUCAGAUUAGGUAGUUGGUGGGGUAAAGGCCUACCAAGCCGACGAUCUGUAGCUGGUCUGAGAGGACGACCAGCCACACUGGGACUGAGACACGGCCCAGACUCCUACGGGAGGCAGCAGUGGGGAAUUUUGGACAAUGGGCGCAAGCCUGAUCCAGCCAUGCCGCGUGCGGGAAGAAGGCCUUCGGGUUGUAAACCGCUUUUGUCAGGGAAGAAAUCCUUUGAGCUAAUACCUCGGGGGGAUGACGGUACCUGAAGAAUAAGCACCGGCUAACUACGUGCCAGCAGCCGCGGUAAUACGUAGGGUGCAAGCGUUAAUCGGAAUUACUGGGCGUAAAGCGUGCGCAGGCGGUUAUGUAAGACAGGUGUGAAAUCCCCGGGCUUAACCUGGGAACUGCACUUGUGACUGCAUAGCUUGAGUGCGGCAGAGG